GAGCCUUGUCAUGCCAUACUUCAGGACUAAUUGAUGGCUUGUCAAUCUCAUCUUUUUCCAAAUGAAAGAAAAUAUGUUUCAUGGCAAAUUUUCAAUAGUCUCCUUGAAGAUCAUUGAAAGGUCUCCUGGAAUAAUUGAAUCUCAGCUUAGCAAGGCCCAGUGAUAGGGGCUGAGGACACAGAGAAUGGCUCAGAGGGGAGUAAGCAGCCUAUCACACUGAAUGAUGGUAAGAGCUUAAGAAAAUGAGGCAGAGACACUGCAAUGGAUCAAACCACUCAGAAGUAACCAGUGACUUCAGUGAAAGGAAUGGAUUACUGUCUAUCCUACUUCCCCAAAAGAGAAUUAACAGCAUAGAAAUUAUGCCUAAAAGCCAGGUAUUUAUAUACCAGGUGCUCGCUAUAGAAGACUCAGUAUACUUGGCAAGAAGGAAAUUAAUGAAAGUCAAAAAUUAGCUACAUCUAGAGAUUUCACUAUCAGCAAAAUUAUAUGACCACAUAUUAGUAUUAUGAGCAAGCAUCCUCAGACCCAACUGUGAGCAUGAGCACAGUAAUUUUAGUCCCAAGAUUUCUGUUGAAUGCCUCCAUUUCAGGCUUUCGAGCAACCAAUGUAUGCAAUAGGUAAACAGAAAUCCAGUCAUAUUUGGAGAGAGAGAAGGGAGGAAGAAGGAGAGAAAGGAGAGGUGG
rnacentral:lncRNA from 1 species